CAUAACCCAAUUUUAACCUAAAGACGCCUCCUAGUCUACCGUUCACUUCUCUCAGCGUCCAUCCUCCCGUUCUCUCUUCACCACUUCGAUCGCCGGCCAGAUACUGACGUCGAUCGUCGCUCAGACUACGGACGUCGACCGCCGUUCGGGAUGUCGACGGCAGCUGCGACAGUGGUACUCUUCCUCUGCGCUGAGCACUAUCCAGACGGUACCCUUCUUCUACACCGGUCUGUUUCCCCGACGUCGACCGGAGAACUAAUCUCCGCCGGCGAGCUUCAUCUGAGAAGUGAUGAUGACAGUGUGGCGAGUAUGAGCAAAAGAAGAAGACAUGAAAGAGUUGUGGGGGUUUCGGAUUAAUUUAAUUAAACAUGAGCAAUGUGGUUUUUAAGGUCAAUUCCGCUGUUAUUGGUUAUUACAGUUACUUAUAAAACCAAUAUGGCUACAAAUGUUUGUAAGGUUCAACAUUGUCAUAAAAUCAGGCCUCAAGUCCAACCUUAUCAUUCUAGCAUAUACCGUCAAAGCUUCACCUUCUCUUCCAUGUUUAGCAAGAGCAUAAUCACUGAAGCCCAAAUGUGUGAAUUCAUCUUCGUAAUUGAUGUUAAGAAAAAAACUUUUAUCAAGUACUCAAGGAAGACACAAUUAGAGUAACCCCAAAUUAGAUUGUUUCUUACACACAUGUAGUAAUCUCAUGCUUUUUUGAUAUCAGAAUCAACCGUCUUCAAACUUCUAAUUUUACUAUUAGAGAAAUUUUUUAUAAUUGUGGUUAGUGUUUGCUCGUUGGGACAGAGAUCUCUUAGUCCUGACAAACGCAAGCUAAUCACAAUAUGAAAAUUUUCCUCGAUGAUGCAAUUAAAUGUUUUCAAGAUGGUUCAUUCUUAUGUUAUCAAAUAAUCAAAGUACGAGAUUACUACAUCUUUAUGAGAAACAAUCUAAUUAAGGGUUAUUCUAAUUGUAUCUCUUUUGAGUACGCGAUAAAAGAUUUUCAUAACAUCAAGAUUAGGAAGAUAAAUUCGUAUAGUUGGAAUUCACUGAUCAAUGCUUUUUGCUAAACAUGGAAGAGGAGCUAAAGCUUUGGCAGUAUUUGAUAGAAUAAUAAGUUUGGAUUUGAAGAACAAUUAUGUGACAAUGUUUAAUGUUAUAAGCGCGUGUAGCCAUGUUAACUUUAUAAGCCAAGACAUACAAAUUUUCAUUAUACCGACCAUGGAGUUGGCCCCAAGUAAUCAAACUUUGUUCAUAUUUAGUUGACUUAAUCACAAGACCCGACUACUUGGUGGAAGCUAAGUUAUUGAUCCCAAGUUAGCGAGGAAGACUGUCGGUAAGGACUCAUUAAAUAUAAUUUUCGCUAGGAAGAGUUUCCAACAAAAAAAAUUGAAAUGAGGGUAGAAGGACUAGAAACAAUGGUGCUUUAGGAACCACAAUUGGCCAAAUUUGAUAAUAGACAGGUACAUAUAAGUAGCUUCUUUGUUAUCUCCUUUUAUUUUCAACGUAUUUGAAAAUGUCCCCCCUUUUUAACCACUUGUAGCUGUGUUCCUGGCAUUAUUGUCAAUAGCGAUCAUAGCGAUAGCUAUAGCGAAUAAUGAGGCGAGGCGAUGCAAUGUUGCAAUGGGGUUCAAAGUGACUGAAUAGCGACGUAGCGAUAUUUAUUGGUUUUCUUCAAAUUAGAUGUUUUUUUUUCUUCAAGAUUUUGAUUUGGAAGUUAUCAUUCCAAUAAAUGCACAUCCUCAUAACCAGAAAGGUUUGAUGGAAAUGCUGAAGGUAGUGCUCAAACUUCAAAAUUAAGGCUACCAUGUAUUAAAGAAGUUGAAGUUAAUGGUAUCACUGUGAAGAUCAAAUAUUGUGUUGAAAGAUUUGUCAUCAUUGCCCUUGGGUUGGACAAUGUAUAGGCCUGGGUCUCUUUGGGCAGCUUUAAGGGUAACUUAUCAGUCAGUUUGGUUAGCUCCAGAGUGAUCUUGGGAUGACUAGUCAGCUGUGUUUACUAUCAGUAUGAUGUUUACAAAACUCGUCAUGCUCAUGCAUGCAAACUAACUUUGGUUUCCUAGUUUCUCCAUUGUUGAUACUAUUGGAUGCCAAAGUAGAUUGAGUUUCAGCUUUAUUUGAUGGAUUGAUUAUAUGCACAUCAUUUCAUAUGAUUCCUUAGUGUAGAUAUACCGUAUGUUUUAGAUGUGCAAUUGAAUUCUUUACCACAAUAAAUGUAUACACUUUUUCUUA